ACUGCGAAUACCGGAGAAUGUUAUCACGGGAGACACACGGCGGGUGCUAACGUCCGUCGUGAAGAGGGAAACAACCCAGACCGCCAGCUAAGGUCCCAAAGUCAUGGUUAAGUGGGAAACGAUGUGGGAAGGCCCAGACAGCCAGGAUGUUGGCUUAGAAGCAGCCAUCAUUUAAAGAAAGCGUAAUAGCUCACUGGUCGAGUCGGCCUGCGCGGAAGAUGUAACGGGGCUAAACCAUGCACCGAAGCUGCGGCAGCGACACUGUGUGUUGUUGGGUAGGGGAGCGUUCUGUAAGCCUGUGAAGGUGUGUCGUGAGGCAUGCUGGAGGUAUCAGAAGUG
rnacentral:rRNA from 1 species